rnacentral:rRNA from 1 species
UACGUAGGGUGCAAGCGUUAAUCGGAAUUACUGGGCGUAAAGCGUGCGCAGGCGGUGAUGUAAGACAGUUGUGAAAUCCCCGGGCUCAACCUGGGAACUGCAUCUGUGACUGCAUCGCUGGAGUGCGGCAGAGGGGGAUGGAAUUCCGCGUGUAGCAGUGAAAUGCGUAGAUAUCGGGAGGAAUACCGAUGGCGAAGGCAGGUCUCUGGGCUGACACUGACGCUCAUGCACGAAAGCGUGGGGAGCAAACAGG